rnacentral:rRNA from 1 species
UAGGGAAUCUUCGGCAAUGGGGGCAACCCUGACCGAGCAACGCCGCGUGAGUGAAGAAGGUUUUCGGAUCGUAAAGCUCUGUUGUAAGUCAAGAACGGGUGUGAGAGUGGAAAGUUCACACUGUGACGGUAGCUUACCAGAAAGGGACGGCUAACUACGUGCCAGCAGCCGCGGUAAUACGUAGGUCCCGAGCGUUGUCCGGAUUUAUUGGGCGUAAAGCGAGCGCAGGCGGUUUGAUAAGUCUGAAGUUAAAGGCUGUGGCUCAACCAUAGUUCGCUUUGGAAACUGUCAAACUUGAGUGCA